rnacentral:rRNA from 1 species
GAUGAACGCUGGCGGCGUGCCUAACACAUGCAAGUCGAGCGAACGGACGAGACGCUUGCUUCUCUCAUGUUAGCGGCGGACGGGUGAGUAACACGUGGAUAACCUACAUCUACGACUUGGACAACUUCGACAAACCGGAGCAAAGACCGGAUCAUACUUUGAACCGCAUGGUUCAAAAGUGAUAGCCGGUAUUGAUGAGACUUAUACCUGGAUCCGCGCUGCAUUAGCUAGUUGGUAAGAUAACGGCUUACCAUGGCAACGAUGCAUAGCCGACCGGAGAGGGUGAUCGGCCACCUUAGAAGGUGGACACGGUCCAUACUCCUGCGGGAGGGAGCAGAAGGGAAUCUUCCGCAGUGGGCGGAAACCUUACAGAGCAACGGCACGUGAGUUACGAAGGUCUUCGGAUCGUAAAACUCGGUUAUUAGGUAAGAACAUCUGUGUACGUGACUGUACACAUCUUGACGGUACCUAAUCAAAAAGCCACGGCUAACUACGUG